rnacentral:RNase_P_RNA from 1 species
CGAGUCGGCCGGGCGACCGCGUCAGCCCGCAAGGGCUGCCGAGGAAAGUCCGGGCUCCUCAGGGCAGGGUGGUUGUCAACGGCAACCCGGCGUGAGCCGCGGGACAGUGCCACAGAGAACAGACCGCCCGGUUCCUCGGAACCGGGUCAGGGUGAAACGGUGGUGUAAGAGACCACCAGCAUCCCGGGUGACCGGGAUGGCUCGGUAAACCCCACCCGGAGCAAGGUCGAGAGCGGGAGAGAUCCCGUGCGCAGGCGUUCGAGGGCUGCCCGCCCGAGCCUGCGGGUGGACCGCUGGAACGUGUCGGCAACGGCACGUCGAGAUGGAUGGUCGCCGAACGGGAGGCCGCAAGGCACCCGGGAACAGAACCCGGCUUACAGGCCGACUCGUCCC